GACACCUUGGCUAGAAAGCUAACAACUGAAGCAAAAUGCUUCUAACUAGAUAAACAAAACUAAUGGUGUCAGAGCUCAGAAUAUAGAAGAUUCGGAUGCUGGGUUUAUUUUUCAUUUUUUCUAUUCUUUUUGUUACCUGAGAAUACGCACAGCUUACGUGUACAAUAGUAAACAUCUUGGUUAAAUACUGGUUAAUUCUGUAGCAACACGCAAACUUGCUUGACAAAGCUCUAAUCAUGUUCUCUACAGAGAACAAAAAUAUUUUGCUUUCACUUCUCAGGCUCUACCUGAGAGUUGAGAAGGAGGCUUGGAGCAGUCAUUUUAAGCUUGUUGAAGCCUCUCAGGGUCAGGCGUCUUCCCGCAAGCUCUAAAGAUCUGUGCCUAGAGUUACAUACUCCCUCCUGGACUAGGAUCAUAAAAGAG